rnacentral:rRNA from 1 species
GGUUAAGUGAAUAAGGGCGCACGGUGGAUGCCUUGGCACUAGGAGCCGAUGAAGGACGGGACUAACACCGAUAUGCUUUGGGGAGCUGUACGUAAGCUAUGAUCCAGAGAUUUCCGAAUGGGGGAACCCAACAUCUUUAAUAGGAUGUUACGAUUGUGUGAAUACAUAGCACAUUCGAGGUAGACGCAGAGAACUGAAACAUCUAAGUACCUGCAGGAAGAGAAAGAAAAUUCGAUUCCCUGAGUAGCGGCGAGCGAAACGGGAAAAGCCCAAACCAGCAAGCUUGCUUGUUGGGGUUGUAGGACUCCAAUAUGGUAGUUCUUUCAGAUAGUCGAAUGACUUGGAAAAGUCAGUCAAAGAGGGUAAAAACCCCGUAGACGAAAUGUGGAAGACACCUAGGAGGAUCCUGAGUACGGCGGAACACGAGAAAUUCCGUCGGAAUCCGGGAGGACCAUCUCCCAAGGCUAAAUACUCCCUAGUGACCGAUAGUGAACCAGUACCGUGAGGGAAAGGUGAAAAGCACCCCGGAAGGGGAGUGAAAUAGAACCUGAAACCGUGUGCCUACAACAAGUCAAAGCCCGUUAAUGGGUGAUGGCGUGCCUUUUGUAGAAUGAACCGGCGAGUUACGAUUGCAUGCGAGGUUAAGUUGAAGAGACGGAGCCGCAGCGAAAGCGAGUCUGAAUAGGGCGUUUGAGUAUGUAGUCGUAGACCCGAAACCAUGUGAUCUACCCAUGUCCAGGUUGAAGGUGCGGUAAAACGCACUGGAGGACCGAACCCACGUACGUUGAAAAGUGCGGGGAUGAGGUGUGGGUAGCGGAGAAAUUCCAAACGAACUUGGAGAUAGCUGGUUCUCUCCGAAAUAGCUUUAGGGCUAGCCUCGGAAUUGAGAAUGAUGGAGGUAGAGCACUGUUUGGACUAGGGGCCCAUCUCGGGUUACCGAAUUCAGAUAAACUCCGAAUGCCAUUCAUUCAUAUCCGGGAGUCAGACUGUGAGUGAUAAGAUCCAUAGUCGAAAGGGAAACAGCCCAGACCACCAGCUAAGGUCCCAAAAUAUAUGUUAAGUGGAAAAGGAUGUGGGGUUGCACAGACAACUAGGAUGUUGGCUUAGAAGCAGCCACCAUUUAAAGAGUGCGUAAUAGCUCACUAGUCGAGUGACCCUGCGCCGAAAAUGUACCGGGGCUAAACAUAUUACCGAAGCUGUGGAGUACACCUUUAGGUGUAUUGGUAGGAGAGCGUUCUAAGGGCGUUGAAGGCAGAUCGUGAGGACUGCUGGAGCGCUUAGAAGUGAGAAUGCCGGUAUGAGUAGCGAAAGACAGGUGAGAAUCCUGUCCACCGAAUGACUAAGGUUUCCUGGGGAAGGCUCGUCCGCCCAGGGUUAGUCGGGACCUAAGCCGAGGCCGAUAGGCGUAGGCGAUGGAUAACAGGUUGAUAUUCCUGUACCCGUUGUUUUUGUUUGAGCAAUGGAGGGACGCAGGAGGCUAAGGAAUGCAGACGAUUGGAAAUGUCUGUCCAAGCAGUAAGUCUGAAGAGGAGUCAAAUGCUUCUUUUCUUAAGGACAAGCUGUGAUGGGGAGGGAAAUAAUAGUACCGAAGUUCCUGAUGUCACACUGCCGAGAAAAGCUUCUAGUGAGAAAACAGCGGCCCGUACCGCAAACCGACACAGGUAGUCGAGGAGAGAAUCCUAAGGUGAGCGAGAGAACUCUCGUUAAGGAACUCGGCAAAAUGACCCCGUAACUUCGGGAGAAGGGGUGCUGAUCAUACGAUCAGCCGCAGUGAAUAGGCCCAAGCGACUGUUUAUCAAAAACACAGGUCUCUGCAAAAUCGUAAGAUGAAGUAUAGGGGCUGACGCCUGCCCGGUGCUGGAAGGUUAAGAGGAGUGCUUAGCGCAAGCGAAGGUACGAAUUGAAGCCCCAGUAAACGGCGGCCGUAACUAUAACGGUCCUAAGGUAGCGAAAUUCCUUGUCGGGUAAGUUCCGACCCGCACGAAAGGCGUAACGAUUUGGGCACUGUCUCAACGAGAGACUCGGUGAAAUUUUAGUACCUGUGAAGAUGCAGGUUACCCGCGACAGGACGGAAAGACCCCAUGGAGCUUUACUGUAGUUUGAUAUUGAGUGUCUGUACCGCAUGUACAGGAUAGGUAGGAGCCGUAGAAAUCGGAACGCUAGUUUCGAUGGAGGCGCUGGUGGGAUACUACCCCUGCGUUAUGGCCACUCUAACCCGCACCACUAAUCGUGGUGGGAGACAGUGUCAGAUGGGCAGUUUGACUGGGGCGGUCGCCUCCUAAAAGGUAACGGAGGCGCCCAAAGGUUCCCUCAGAAUGGUUGGAAAUCAUUCGAAGAGUGUAAAGGCAGAAGGGAGCUUGACUGCGA